GAGGAAAGUCCGGGCUCCUUCGGGCAAAGUGCCAGGUAAUUCCUGGGAGGUGUAAGCCUACGGAAAGUGCCACAGAAAAUAUACCGCCUAAUAUACUUACAGCAAUGGGAUUUUUGGCAAGUGCCGCGGAAUUGUGAAUUGAGCGGGAAAGCUGCCAAAAAUUCAAGUGCGAAGCGUAUGGGGUAAGGGUGAAAAGGUGUGGUAAAAGCGCACCGCAUCAUUGGUAACAGUGAUGGCAGGGCAAACCCCACUUGGAGCAAGACCAAAUAGGAACCUAUACUAUACGCCUUGGAUUUCAAGGAGCUGGUGAGGCGCUGCUGAAGUCGAGCAGCGGAGCAUACUAAACCGUAUGUGAGCAGUGAGACGAACCAGCAACAAAGCCAGAACUUGAAAGGAGAGGUGUAUAUAGCGUGGCCCACGUUGGGUUCGGGUAGGUCGCUUGAGAUAUAGGGUGACGUAUAUCCUAGAUGAAUGACUGUCCACGACAGAACCCGGCUUA
rnacentral:RNase_P_RNA from 1 species